rnacentral:rRNA from 1 species
CCUACGCGUGGCAGCAGUGAGGAAUAUUGGUCAAUGGGCGGGAGCCUGAACCAGCCAAGUCGCGUGAGGGAAGACGGUCCUAUGGAUUGUAAACCUCUUUAGGCGGGGAGCAAUGCCGGGCACGCGUGCCCGGAGGGAGAGUACCCGCAGAAUAAGCAUCGGCUAACUCCGGGCCAGCAGCCGCGGUAAUACGGAGGAUGGGAGGGUUAUCCGGAUUUAUUGGGUUUAAAGGUUGCGUGGGCGGAUUUUUAAGUCAGCGGUAAAAUGUCCGGGCUAAACCCCUUCCCGCCAUUGAAACUGGCGGUCUGGAGUGGAAGAGAGGUAUGUGGAAUGCGUGGUGUAGCGGUGAAAUGCAUAGAUAUCACGCAGAACCCCGAUUGCGAAGGCAGCAUGCCGGCUUCCUACUGACGCUGAGGCACGAAAGCGUGGGGAUCGAACAGGAUUAGAUACCCGAGUAGUC